GGUCGGGUAGCUCAGUUGGCAGAGCGGCCGCCUGAAAAGCGGUAGGUCCCCGGAUCGACGCCGGGCCCGACCACCA
rnacentral:tRNA from 1 species